GAUGAACGCUGGCGGCGUGCCUAAUACAUGCAAGUCGAGCGAACAGACGAGGAGCUUACUCCUCUGACGUUAGCGGCGGACGGGUGAGUAACACGUGGAUAACCUACCUAUAAGACUGGGAUAACUUCGGGAAACCGGAGCUAAUACCGGAUAACAUGUUGAACCGCAUGGUUCAACAGUGAAAGACGGUCUUGCUGUCACUUAUAGAUGGAUCCGCGUCGCAUUAGCUAGUUGGUAAGGUAACGGCUUACCAAGGCAACGAUGCGUAGCCGACCUGAGAGGGUGAUCGGCCACACUGGAACUGAGACACGGUCCAGACUCCUACGGGAGGCAGCAGUAGGGAAUCUUCCGCAAUGGGCGAAAGCCUGACGGAGCAACGCCGCGUGAGUGAAGAAGGUCUUCGGAUCGUAAAACUCUGUUAUUAGGGAAGAACAAAUGUGUAAGUAACUAUGCACGUCUUGACGGUACCUAAUCAGAAAGCCACGGCUAACUACGUGCCAGCAGCCGCGGUAAUACGUAGGUGGCAAGCGUUAUCCGGAAUUAUUGGGCGUAAAGCGCGCGUAGGCGGUUUUUUAAGUCUGAUGUGAAAGCCCAUGGCUCAACCGUGGAGGGUCAUUGGAAACUGGAAAACUUGAGUGCAGAAGAGGAAAGUGGAAUUCCAUGUGUAGCGGUGAAAUGCGCAGAGAUAUGGAGGAACACCAGUGGCGAAGGCGACUUUCUGGUCUGUAACUGACGCUGAUGUGCGAAAGCGUGGGGAUCAAACAGGAUUAGAUACCCUGGUAGUCCACGCCGUAAACGAUGAGUGCUAAGUGUUAGGGGGUUUCCGCCCCUUAGUGCUGCAGCUAACGCAUUAAGCACUCCGCCUGGGGAGUACGACCGCAAGGUUGAAACUCAAAGGAAUUGACGGGGACCCGCACAAGCGGUGGAGCAUGUGGUUUAAUUCGAAGCAACGCGAAGAACCUUACCAAAUCUUGACAUCCUCUGACCCCUCUAGAGAUAGAGUUUUCCCCUUCGGGGGACAGAGUGACAGGUGGUGCAUGGUUGUCGUCAGCUCGUGUCGUGAGAUGUUGGGUUAAGUCCCGCAACGAGCGCAACCCUUAAGCUUAGUUGCCAUCAUUAAGUUGGGCACUCUAAGUUGACUGCCGGUGACAAACCGGAGGAAGGUGGGGAUGACGUCAAAUCAUCGUGCCCCUUAUGAUUUGGGCUACACACGUGCUACAAUGGACAAUACAAAGGGUAGCGAAACCGCGAGGUCAAGCAAAUCCCAUAAAGUUGUUCUCAGUUCGGAUUGUAGUCUGCAACUCGACUACAUGAAGCUGGAAUCGCUAGUAAUCGUAGAUCAGCAUGCUACGGUGAAUACGUUCCCGGGUCUUGUACACACCGCCCGUCACACCACGAGAGUUUGUAACACCCGAAGCCGGUGGAGUAACCUUUUGGAGCUAGCCGUCGAAGGUGGGACAAAUGAUUGGGGUG
rnacentral:rRNA from 1 species